rnacentral:rRNA from 1 species
ACCAACUGCGGGGAGACGGCGGGGGGAAGAGGUAGGGGCAGAGGGUGGGCAGGAAUUACUGGGCGUAAAGGGCUCGUAGGUGUGUGGGCGCGUUGUUGGUGAAAACUCACAGCUCAACUGUGGGCGGGCGGUCGAUACGGGCAGACGUGAGUACUGCAGGGGAGACUGGAAUUCCUGGUGUAGCGGUGGAAUGCGCAGAUAUCAGGAGGAACACCGGUGGCGAAGGCGGGUCUCUGGGCAGUAACUGACGCUGAGGAGCGAAAGCGUGGGGAGCGAACAGGAUUAGAUACCCCGGUAGUC